rfam:Streptomyces sp. AVP053T2 APS67_contig000033, whole genome shotgun sequence.
GCCUCGUGGAUCUGGUUCGGGCAGAGGAAGUGCACGUGGGUGUCGACGCCGCCCGCGGUCAGGAUGCGCCCCUUGCCGGAGAUCACCUCCGUCUCGGGGCCCACGACGAAGUCCGAGGCGCGCGGGUCGUCGUGGGGACGCGGCGUCAUGGUCUCCGGGUUGUACGCCUUGCCGAUGGCCCGGAUGCGGCCGUCGCGCAGCCCGACGUCGGCCUUGACGACGCCCCAGUGGUCCAGGAUCAGCGCACCGGUGAUCACGGUGUCGACCGGCUCGCGGGGGUCGUCGCGGGGGAUGUGCGACUGGCCCAUCGACUCACGGAU